rnacentral:rRNA from 1 species
UACGUAGGGGGCGAGCGUUGUCCGGAUUUAUUGGGCGUAAAGCGCGUGUAGGCGGCCGGAUAGGUCUGCUGUGAAAACUCGAGGCUCAACCUCGAGCUGUCGGCGGAAACCAUUCGGCUAGAGUCCGGAAGAGGAGAGUGGAAUUCCCGGUGUAGCGGUGAAAUGCGCAGAUAUCGGGAAGAACACCUGUGGCGAAGGCGGCUCUCUGGGACGGUACUGACGCUGAGACGCGAAAGCGUGGGGAGCAAACAGG